UGCCUGCUCAACUCUAUGUAUAAAGUUAGAGUAAUACUUUUUAAUGGGUGUUGUACGACUCCACAUGGCAUGGAUGUACAUGGAGUUGACUGCUGGUUAUUUACAUGAAUUCAUGUGUCUACAAAGGGGUUUGGCAUAUGUAUGCAAUCAUUGCAAAUCCUCUAAGUUAACUAUUUGCCAACGGAUCUGGUUGGCACAAACAUCAUUUAUUAUGCAGAAGAGUCUUGUGACUAUGUCCAAGUGGGCAGUGUGGGGAGUUGUCUUCAGAAGUUCCCCCACCAUCAGAACCUAAGAUGCAUCCAGCACCGGUCAGAAUACUGCUCAGGAGAGCUCUACCAUGCCUUCUAUAGAUAGGCACUAGGAACUGGAUUUGGUGGGAAUGAAGAGACAAGAUCUCACUAUGUAACCUGACCUGGCUUUGACUGCCUGGAGUUCAUCUUGGCUCAGCCUCCUGAGUUCUGGAAUUAUAGAUCUUUAAGGUGGCUUCUGAAAAGUUUGACAUGCGGCCCGCACUCCACUUCGUUGAAAGAGCUGGUGUAGACUUGUUUACACAUUAGAAAGUGCUUUCUCCACACACCUGCUGUUUUCUCACAGAGAGACCAUGAAGUGGUCUCCUGGGAGAAUGUCAACUCAAGUGUCAGGAGGAAGCAGAUCUGCGCGGUUCAGUAACCGACAAGUUCUAGCAUAGUCAAAUUCCGACGCGAUCCUGACCGUACUGGGGAUUUACUCGGUGAUCUGAGUUGGCCUGCACUGGAAUGGGGUUCACCAUCGCUUAGGGAAGCUCUCUAGCCCUAUGUCUGAAUUUUGAUCAUUCACCCCGCAAACGAGGGUCUCAGAGCUCCGGACCAUAACUUAGGCACAGACACUGUGGCGCCACUGGAGAGACGUGCCAAAUUUUAAGUCAUUCUCCCCGGCAGCGCCUUUAGCUAUGCUCAAAAAGAAAAAGAGGCACCACCGCGACAUCAACGUUCGGCCAGCGGCUCCCUUCGGCCCGUGUGCAUUUCUUUGCACCUGCACGUCUGCAGGCUUGCACCCUGCAGACGGCCGGCCCGCAGGGUUUCAGCUGGGGAGCGUCGUUUUCAGCCGGCCGCGAGUCCCGGGAGGAGAAGGAGGGUGGAGGGGGGAUGCGAAAGGGAGAGAAAGCUCCCAGCUUGCAGAACCAGCUCUCCCCUCCCUCCGCCACGAUCCCAGGCGCACCCGAACCUCUCUGGGUCUUGGGGACACCCAGCAGGCAGGGCGCGCAAAUUCCGCGCGCCCACCGAGCCAGCGCGCGCGCGCCCAGGC